UGAAGAAUUUGUCCAACGGUGGGGGUAGCCGGCCCAACGGCCGGGUAAUACCGCGUACGCCCUUCGAGCGGCAUCGCUUGAUGGGGAAAGUCGCAAGACGCCGAUGGAGAACUUCGCGGCCUAUCAGCUAGUUGGUGAGGUCAUGGCUCACCAAGGCGACGACGGGUAGCUGGUCCGAGAGGAUGACCAGCCACAUUGGGACUGAGACACGGCCCAGACUCCUACGGGAGCAG
rnacentral:rRNA from 1 species